rnacentral:rRNA from 1 species
UGAGGAAUAUUGCGCAAUGGGGGCAACCCUGACGCAGCGACGCCGCGUGAGUGAGGAAGGCCUUCGGGUCGUAAAGCUCUGUCAAAGGGAAAGAAAUGUAUAAUGGCUAAUACCUGUUAUAUUUGACGGUACCCUUAAAGGAAGCACCGGCUAACUCCGUGCAAGCAGCCGCGGUAAUACGGAGGGUGCAAGCGUUGUUCGGAAGUACUGGGCGUAAAGGGCGCGUAGGCGGUUGGAUAAGUCAGAUGUGAAAGCCCACGGCUUAACUGUGGAAGUGCAUUUGAUACUGUCAGACUUGAGUACCAGAGGGGAAAGUGGAAGUCCCGGUGUAGAGGUGAAAUUCGUAGAUAUCGGGAGGAAUACCGGUGGCGAAGGCGACUUUCUGGCUGGAUACUGACGCUGAGGCGCGAAAGCGUGGGGAGCAAACA